GUCCCAGACUCCUACGGGAGGCAGCAGUGGGGAAUAUUGCACAAUGGGGGAAACCCUGAUGCAGCGACGCCGCGUGAGUGAAGAAGUAAUUCGUUAUGUAAAGCUCUAUCAGCAGGGAAGAAAAUGACGGUACCUGAGUAAGAAGCCCCGGCUAACUACGUGCCAGCAGCCGCGGUAAUACGUAGGGGGCAAGCGUUAUCCGGAUUUACUGGGUGUAAAGGGAGCGUAGACGGCGAUGCAAGCCAGAUGUGAAAGCCCGGGGCUCAACCCCGGGACUGCAUUUGGAACUGUAUAGCUGGAGUGUCGGAGAGGCAGGCGGAAUUCCUAGUGUAGCGGUGAAAUGCGUAGAUAUUAGGAGGAACACCAGUGGCGAAGGCGGCCUGCUGGACGAUGACUGACGUUGAGGCUCGAAAGCGUGGGGAGCAAACAGGAUUAGAUACCCUAGUA
rnacentral:rRNA from 1 species